AGCGAACGCUGGCGGCGUGCUUAACACAUGCAAGUCGAACGGAUCCGGGGGGCAACCCUCGGAUUAGUGGCGAACGGGUGAGUAACACGUGGGUAAUCUCCCCCCGAGUGAGGGAUAAGCUUGCGAAAGCGGGUCUAAUACCGCAUGAAACUCCGGGACGUCGGUCUUCGGAGUCAAAGCCGUAAGGCGCUUGGGGAUGAGCCUGCGUCCUAUUAGCUAGUUGGUAGGGUAAUGGCCUACCAAGGCUAAGACGGGUAGCUGGUCUGAGAGGAUGAUCAGCCACACUGGCACUGGAACACGGGCCAGACUCCUACGGGAGGCAG
rnacentral:rRNA from 1 species